rnacentral:lncRNA from 1 species
AUCGAUAUAAGUGCCAUUUGGGCCUCCAAGUUAUUAUCCAUGAAGAAAUUCAAAACAGAUAUUGGUGUCCCAAUGAAGAUUAAGCUGACAACAUAGCUCUGGUAGAUGAGCAAGGCCCCAGAAGGCAACUCCUGCAUGACCAUGUUGGUGCUAUCAUAGACCGCAACAUUCAGUUUCUCACCAUAGGUCCCAGCAAGGAUGUGACCACCGAAGAUAGUUUUAAUUCCUGCAACAUUUAAUUAGAAUUGAAGCAUGCAAUAACUAAAAUAAUGAUAGAUACUCUCACAAACAAAAGAAAAAACAAUUGUAGACCUAAGAUAUUUUAGUGCAGACAAAAACUCUUAGAACUAACUUGGAAGGAAAGAAAACUACCAUAUCAGGAUAAUCUCACUUAGGUAUUGAUAACCCACAAGUAUAUGGGAUCAAUUGUAGCCUCUUUCGAUAAGUAAGAGUGUCGAACCCAACGAGGAGCUAAAGGUAGAACAAAUAUUCCCUCAAGUUCUAUCGACCAUCGAUACAACUCUACGCACACUUGACGUUCGCUUUACCUAGAAUAAGUAUGAAACUAGAAGUACUUUGUAGGUGUUGUUGGAUAGGUUUGCAAGAUAAUGAAGAGCAUGUAAAUAUAAACUAGGGGCUGUUUAGAUAAAGAAGCAAUAAAGUAAAUAUAGCUAGUGUGGAAAAGUGGUGGUAGGAGUUGUGAAAUUGUCCCUAAGCAAUUGACUACUUUACUAGACCAAUAACAAGUUUUAUGUGCGAGAGGCAUAAGCUAACAUACUUUCUCUUCUUGGAUCGUAUGCACUUAUGAUUGGAACUCUAGCAAGCAUCCACAACUACUAAAGAUCAUUAAGGUAAAACCCAACCAUAGCAUUAAAGCAUCAAGUCCCCUUUAUCCCAUACGCCACAACCCCCUUACUCGGUUUUAUGCUUCUGUCACUCAAGCAACCCACUAUAAGUGAAUCAUGAACAUAUUGCGACACCCUACAGCGGGAAUCCCUCACGCUUGCGCGACACGGAGAGCACCAUAGGACAUCAACAUAACCACAAGCAAAUUAAACCAAUCGUAGCAAUUCACCAAUUACCGAUAGGACAACAAAAAUCUACUCAGACAUCAUAGGAUGGCAACACAUCAUUGGAUAAUAAUAUGAAGCAUAAAGCACCAUGUUCAAGUAGAUGGUACAUCGGGUUGCGGAAGAGUGGACCACUGAAUAUAGAUGGGGGAGGUGAUGGAGAUGUUGGUGAAGAUGAUGGCGGUGUUGGCGUAGAUCGCGGUGAUGAUGAUGGCCCCCGGCGGUGUUCCGGCGCCACCGGAAGCAAGGGCGGGAGAGAGACCCUUCUUCUUAUUCUUCUUCUUCUUCCUUGACCUUCUCCCUAUAUGGGAGAAGGGUUUCCCCUCUUGUCAAUGGUCUCCAUGGCGUGGGAGGGGCGAGAGCCCCUCCGAGAUUGGAUCUGUCUCUCUAUCUCUCUCUGUUUCUGCAUUCUCAGAUUCUGCCCUUUCACCGUUUCUUAUAUAUCCGGAGAUCCAUAACUCCGACUGGAUUGAAACCUUCGCCACGAUUUUUUUCCUGAAAAUUAGCUUUCUUGCGCCAAAAGAAGAGCAGCAACCGCCUUACGGGGUGCCCACGAGGGUCAGGGGCGCGCCCCCUGCCUCGUGGCCCCCUCGGGCACCGUCUCGCGUUGAUUCUUCUUCCCAAAAAUCAUAAAUAUUCCAAAAAUAUUCUUCGUCAUUUUUAUCCUGUUUGGACUCCGUUUGAUAUGGGGUUUCUGCAAAACAAAAACAUGCAACAAACAGGAACUGGCACUGGACACUGGAUUAAUAUGUUAGUCCCAAAAAUAGUAUAAAAAGUUGCCAAAAGUAUAUGAAAAUUGAAUGAUAUUGGCAUGGAACAAUAAAAAAUUAUAGAUACGACAGAGACGUAUCAGCAUCCCCAAGCUUAAUUCUUGCUCGUCCUCAAGUAGGUAAAUGAUAAAAAUAAUAAUUUUUGAUGUGGAAUGCUACCUAGCAUAAUUUUGAUCAUGUAAUCUAAUCAUGGCAUGAAUAUUAAGACACGAGUGAUUCAAGGCAAUAGUCUAUCAUUUGACAUAAAAACAAUAAUACUUCGGGCAUCCCAACAAACAAUCAUGCCUUUCAAAAUAUCAAUGCUUUAGAACGUUAUCCCUACAAAAUCAUAUAGUCUUUUAUGCUCCCUUUUCUUAACACAAGGUACCGCUCAUGCCUAUCCCGGUGUCAGCCAAACAAUUGUUUUCAUACCUUACUUUUUCGAACCUUUUCAACUCUUCACGCAAUACAUGAGCGUGAGCCAUGGACAUAGCACUAUGGGUGGAAUAGAAGGUGGUAGUAGACAAAAGUAUGGAGAAAGUCUCACAUCGACUAGGCAAAUCAACGGACUAUGGAGAUGUUCAUCAAUUGAUAUCAAUGUGAGUGAGUAGGGAUUGCUAUGUAACGGAUGCACUAGAGCUAUAAGUGUAUGAAAGCUCAAAGGAAAACUAGUGGGUGUGCAUCAACUUGCUUGCUCAUGAAGACCUAGGGCAAUUUGAGGAAGCCCAUCGUCGGAAUAUACAAGCCAAGUUCUAUAACAAAAAAUUCCCACUAGUAUAUGAAAGUGACAAUAUAGGAGACUCUAUAUGAAGAACAUGGUGCUACUCUGAAGCACAAGUGUGGUAAAAGGAUAGUAACAUUGCCCCUUUUCUUUUUUUUUCUCUCUUUUUUUGGGCGGGCUUCUUUGGCCCCCCCUUUUUUUGUAUUUAGGCUUCUUUGGCCUCUUUUUUUAUGGGGCAAUGCUCUAAUAAUGAUGAUCAUCACACUUUUAUUUACUUACAACUCAAUAUUACAACUCGAUACUAGAACAAAGAUAUGACUCUAUAUGAAUGCCUCCGGCGGUGUCCCGGUGGAUGUCCAAUGAUCUAGCAUAGCAAUGACAUCAAAAAACUGGCAAGCCAUGAAAACAUCAUGCUAGCUGUCUUACGAUCAUGCACAACAAUAUAACAAUGAUGGUGCAUGUCAUAACAAACGGAACAGUGGAGUUACAUGGCAAUGUAUCUCAGAAUGGCUAUGGAAAUGCCAUAAUAGGUAGGUAUGGUGGCUGUUUUGAGGAAGGGUAUAAGGUGGUUUGAUGCACCGGCGAAAAUUGCACGGUACUAGAGUGGCUAGCAAGGUGGAAGGGUGAGAGUGCUUAUAAACCAUGGACUCAACAUUAUUCAUAAAGAACUCACAUACUUACUACGAAAAAUCUAUUAACCCUCGAAGCAAAAUACUAUGACGCAUGCUCCUAGGGGGGAGGUUGGUAGGAGUUAACCAUCGCGUGCCCCCGACCUUCACACAAAGAUAAACAAUCAAAAUACAAUGUGCACCAAUUUGGUUACAUAGUUUGGAGACCAUACGUGCAUGCUUCAGGAAUCACAAACCUUAACACCAAUAUUUUUACUAAACCACAAUCAUUCACUAGUUCUCCCACAUAUUAGCAUCUCUAUAUCGCAAAACUAUUUCAAGGAAUCAAACAUAUCAUAUUCAGCGAUCUACAAGUUUAUGUAGGAUUUUAUGACUAACCAUGCGAAUGACCAAUUCCUGUCAUCUCUCUAAAUAGAUAUAAGUGAAGCAAGAGAGUUUAAUUCUUUCCACAAAAGAUAUGCCCACGCUCUAACAAAUAUAAGUGAAGCAAAAGAACAUUCUACAAAUGGCGGUUUUCAAUUUGAAGAGAAACAUGCAAUCCAAACUUCAAAUGAUAUAAGUGAAGCACGUGAAGCAUUCUAUAAAGCCAUACUCAAAAGAUUUAAGUGAGGUGCAAUGAGAAUUCUAUAAAUAAACCAUGGACUAUCUCAUACCAGCAUGGUGCAUAAAAGAAAAGUGAAAACUAAAUACAAAAGACGCUCCAAGAUUUGCACAUAUCGCAUGAACGAAACGAAUCCGAAAACAUACCGAUACUUGUUGAAGAAAGAGGGGAUGCCUUCCGGGGCAUACCCAAGCUUAGACGCUUGAGUCUCCUUGAAUAUUUACUUGGGGUGCCUUGGGCAUCCCCAAGCUUGAGCUCUUGCCUCUCCUCCUUUUCCUCAUAUCGAGACCUCCUCGAUCAAACACUUCAUCCACACAAAACUUCAACAGAAAACUCUGUAAGAUCCGUUAGUAUAAUAAAGCAAAUCACUACUCUAAGUACUGUUGAAAACCAAUUCAUAUUUUGUUUUUGCAUUAUAGCUACUGUAAUAUAACUUUUCCAUGGCUUAAUCCGCUGAUAGAAAUUGAUAGUUUCAUCAAAACAAGCAAACUAUGCAUCAAAAACAGAAUCUGUCAAAAACAGAACAGUCUGUAGUACUCUGAAGAUUCACCAUACUUCUGUUACCCCAAAAAUUCUACCAACAUUAUGAAAAAUAAACAAUUUAUACAUAAAGACAGUGAAAAAAGUUUCAUAACCGUUUGAUGUUCCAGUAAAAAAUGAAAAAUCGCGCACUACAGACAAAGUUUCUGUCCUGCACCGCACAAACCAACAAGCAUUGUAAACAUCCUAAAGGCAAACCUUAGCACAUUAUUUUUAUAAUACAAUGGAAUUGUACAAGGGGAUAAUUAUUUUUGAUUAAAUUUUUAUGUAAUUAAGAUUCACAAAGUUUCCGUGAGCAUGAACAAAGUUCAAGGAGCUCUCCCACUUCAACAAGGCUUGUCUUUCUUACUUUCACUUUCCUUUUUGAAACGUUUUGGGUUCCCUCUUUUUUUAAACUAUAUAAAAGCACUCAAUAGAAGUAAAUGACUCUCUAAAACUUCCAGGUUGUCUCCCUGGCAGCGCUUUCUUUAAAGCCACUAAGCUAGGCAUAAUGUGCUCAAGUAAUGGAUCCACCCGGAUCCCAAGGUAUAUCAAAGCCAAUUUUAAUUAACAAUGAUUUGUGAUUUAGUAGUGAGCACAAAGUAACAUAUAUCAUGUAAUGACGAAGUCUAACUCCCUUCAUAUGCAUCGGCAUGUCAUAAAAGAACAAUUCAUGCACACAUAGUAAAGGCCAAUGCAUGGUAUAGGUAGUUUCUUGCAAUUUCAUCGUAUGGGAAACAUAGAGAGGUGGAGAUAUAGUUCCUCUCUCAUAAUAAUUGUAAGUAGGAGCAGCAAGCACAUGCAUAUUAUAUCUAUCAAAAUCAUCAUGUGUAGUAGUAAAACGCAACCCAUCAAUAUAAUACUUAAUAAGGGCAAACUUCUCUGGUAUAGUGUAGUUGGGAGAAUUCAAAAAGAUAAUAGGACUAUCAUGCGUGGGUGCAAUAGCAACAAUUUCAUGUUUAACAUAAGGAACUAUAGCAAGUUCAUCUCCAUAGGCAUCAUUCAUAUUGGCAUCAUGGCCACAAGCAUAGCAAGCAUCAUCAAAAAGGGGCAUUUCAAGAGAAUCAACGGGAUCAUAACAAUCAUCAUAGCAAUCAUCCUUCGGUAAGCACGAAGGGAAAUUAAACAAUGUAUGAGUCGAAGAGUUACUCUCAUUAGAAGGUGGGCACGGGUAGCUAAUCCGCUCUUCCUCCUUUUGUUCUUCGCUCUCCUCAUCAUCUUUUUCAUCCAAUGAGCUCACAGUUUCAUCAAUUUCUUCUUCCAUAGACUCCUGCAAAAUAUUAGUCUCUUCUUGGCAAGCGUAGGAGUCCUCAAUAUAUGGUUUAAUAUAAGGAUUAGAAGCAUAAUUAUCAUAGAAAUAUUUAAGUAUGGCCAAAUUCUCAGAUUUGUAAAGAGUAGCAUCAUACUUUUCAAUCAAAGAAGCAAUUUCAUAAGCACCCUUAAAAGCAACAAAUUCUUCAAUUUGUUGAACAUCAUAGUAAUUAUAAACACCCUUAGCAUACGAAGAUGCGAUUCCAUUAUCACUAAACUCACAUUGGUAGGGAAAGUGUUUCUUAGGGUUUUCAGAACAACAAGUAACAUCAUAUAUUUCACAUAAAUUCCAAGCAUAGCAUUGCAAAUGAUGAAUUUGAUCUAGUAAAAGUUUCCCUUUUUUAGAUAAGCGGUAUCGCACAUAACAAGCAUGCUCAUCUAAAGAUUUGCCCUCAACUAAGCUAGUUGGGGUUUCAACACGAGCACAUAAGGAUCGAAGAUGAUCCAAGUAAAAAGCUUCAGGAGUGUGAAAGGUUUUGAGUGGUUCUUCAACCAUUGGUGUGGUAGGUACAACUAAUUUUUUUGGUAUUUUGCGUUUCCUACCCAUAACUAAAGAUAGAAAACAACUAAGAACAACAAAUAAAAAUUACUUAGUAAUAAAGCAAACAAGCACACACAAGAAUAUUCACCCCACGCUAUGACUCCCCGGCAACGGCGCCAGAAAAGAGCUUGAUGUCUACUAUGCAACCUUCUUCUUGUAGACGUUGUUGGGCCUCCAAGUGCAAAGGUUUGUAGGACAGUAGCAAAUUUCCCUCAAGUGGAUGGCCUAAGGUUUAUCAAUCCGUGGGAGGCAUAGGAUGAAGAUGGUCUCUCUCAAACAACCCUGCAACCAAAUAACAAAGAGUCUCUUAUGUCCCCAACACACCCAAUACAAUGGUAAAUUGUAUAGGUGCACUAGUUCGACGAAGAGAUGGUGGUACAAGUGCAAUAUGGAUAGUAGAUAUAGGUUUUUGUAAUCUGAAAAUAUAAAAACAGCAAGGUAACUAAUGAUAAAAGUGAGCCUAAACGGUAUUGCAAUGGUAGGAAACAAGGCCUAAGGUUCAUACUUUCACUAGUGCAAGUUCUCUCAACAAUAAUAACAUAACUAGAUCAUAUAACUAUCCCUCAACAUGCAACAAAGAGUCACUCCAAAGUCACUAAUAGUGGAGAACAAACGAACAGAUUAUUGUAGGGUACGAAACCACCUCAAAGUUAUCCUUUCUGAUCGGUCUAUUCAAGAGUCUGUAGUAAAAUAACACGAAGCUAUUAUUUUUGUUCGAUCUAUCAUAGAGUUCGUACUAGAAUAACACCUUAAGACACAAAUCAACCAAAACCCUAAUGUCACCUAUAUACUCCAAUGUCACCUCAAGUAUCCAUGGGUAUGAUUAUACGAUAUGCAUCACACAAUCUCAGAUUCAUCUAUUCAAACCAACACAAAGUACUUCAAAGAGUGCCUCAAAGUUUCUACCAGAGAGUCAAGAAGAAAACGUGUGCCAACCCCUAUGCAUAAGUUCACAAGGUCAGUGAACCCGCAAGUUGAUCACCAAAACAUACAUCAAGUAGAUCACGUGAUAUCCCAUUGUCACCAUAGAUAAGCACAUGCAAGACAUACAUCAAGUGUUCUCAAAUCCUUAAAGACUCAAUCCGAUAAGAUAACUUCAAAGGGAAAAAUCAAUCCAUUACAAGAGAGUAGAGGGUGAACUACUCCCUCAUCAUCAUGGAGAGCGCCGGGAUGAUGAAGAUGGCCAUCGAUGAGGGAUCCCCCCUCCGGCAGGGUGCCGGAACAGGGCCCCGAUUGGUUUUUGGUGGCUACGGAGGCUUGUGGCGGCAGAACUCCCGAUCUAUUGUGAUCCCGGAUGUUUUCGGGGUAUAUGGAUAUAUAUAUAUAUAUAUAUAUAUAUAUAUAUAGGAAAAAGAAGUCGAUCAGGGGAGCCACAAGGGGCCCACGAGGGUGGGGGGCGCGCCCAGGGGGUAGGGCGCGUCCUGGACCCUCGUGGCCACCUUGAAGCUUCCCUGACAUCUACUCCAAGUCUCCUGAAUUGCUUCCGUUUCAAAAAUAACUCUCCCGUAGGUUUCAUAUCAUUUGGACUCCGUUUGAUAUUCCUUUUCUUCGAAACACUGAAAUAGGCAAGAAAACAACAAUUUGGGCUGGACCUCCGGUUAAUAGGUUAGUCCCAAAAAUCGUAUAGAAGUGUAUAAUAAAGCCCAUAAACAUCCAAAAUGGGUAAUAUAAUAGCAUGGAACAAUCAAAAAUUAUAGAUACGUUGGAGACGUAUCAGGUAUGUAUGUGCAAACAUGAUAAUAACUUCAUAUAUAUCUUAGUUAGGAGUUUUAAGAACACAAGUGAGUUAAACACUGCUGAUACGCCACGAGAUUACUCCAAAGUCCAAAAGCACUGAAGAUAAGAGUCUGUAAUGUCAAUCAUAAAAGCCAUAAUGCUAUUUUUAACUGCAAAAGGUGAAUACAGUAGAGACUCUUCUACAAAAAGGACGACCUCCACAAUCAAGAUAAAACUGAUUACUCCGAUGGUAACAUUAGAAUUGUUUUACACUUUUAGCAUAAAAUUGUGCAACAAACUGUACAACUAAGUGAUCCGCCCAAUGUUGACAAUAAUCAACAAUUGGUUGAAGUGUUGCAGAAGCAUGGCAAUGGCUAGCGAUAUUUCAGAGUAAUAUAUCCUACAAGAAACAAACCGUUAAAUCUCAAGAAAGACAACAAUCAUCGGCGAACUGGAAAUGAUAACAAUAUAUCCUACAAGAAAUACAAGGCCUAAAUUAAGUAAUUUAAAAUGCUCAUAAAGCUUGUACAGAAUAUAAUAGUAUAAUAUGUAAAUAAUCUAGGAGUAGAACAAUUUUGCAAUGUGAUAGCAUUUGUCAUCUCUAUUUCCCCAGCUCAUAUUUUAUCAGACCAGCAGGGUACUCAAUGGGAAGAUGAUGAGUUUAUCACCAUGACUGAUUAUAGUUCACUGAAAAGAAUAAUGAGUGAAGCAGUAAAAAAAAUUGAAGCAUAGUUGGUAGCUACGGCUUCACCCAGAAACAUCUCAAGUAUUUGUAUAUAUCACAACAACCUUCCCUCAUACCUGGCAUGGUACAUAUUUGUUUGAAGGGUCUGUGGGGGCAGAAACUGCUUCAUUCAGAUAUUGACCUUCAAUCUCAAGUAUUAGCUAGCAGCUCUCCCUUUCCCUCUAUCUAGUUCUAAAAAUGUGCAACAGAGUUAUAUCAAACGUCAUUUAAAUUACAACCCGCAGUUCAGAACUCAUAAACAUGAUUGAUUUGUUAUCACUUAAGCUAGUUCUUUAGCUAGCUACAGAAUGUGCAUUCUCCCCAACCCCUAUUACUCAUUUUGUUUCUGAUGGCAAGGCACAUAUAUAGGCUUGUAGAUAGAAAAAAACAGGGAAGCCAACAUGUUCUAUCUUUCUUCUGCCCAUACAAGAAUCUGCAAACAAGUUAGUUUUAUUAAAAAGUCAGCAACUCAUUUUUAUUC